CAGCAGCCGCGGUAAUACAGAGGGUGCGAGCGUUAAUCGGAUUUACUGGGCGUAAAGCGUGCGUAGGCGGCUUUUUAAGUCGGAUGUGAAAUCCCUGAGCUUAACUUAGGAAUUGCAUUCGAUACUGGGAAGCUAGAGUAUGGGAGAGGAUGGUAGAAUUCCAGGUGUAGCGGUGAAAUGCGUAGAGAUCUGGAGGAAUACCGAUGGCGAAGGCAGCCAUCUGGCCUAAUACUGACGCUGAGGUACGAAAGCAUGGGGAGCAAACAGGAUUAGAUACCCGUGUAGUCCCUGUCUCUUAUAA
rnacentral:rRNA from 1 species